UACAGAGGUCUCAAGCGUUGUUCGGAUUCAUUGGGCGUAAAGAGUGCGUAGGUGGCGCGCUAAGUCAGGUGUGAAAUUUCGGAGCUUAACUCCGAAACUGCAUUUGAUACUGGCAUGCUUGAGGACUGGAGAGGAGACUGGAAUUCACGGUGUAGCAGUGAAAUGCGUAGAGAUCGUGAGGAAGACCAGUGGCGAAGGCGGGUCUCUGGACAGUUCCUGACACUGAGGCACGAAGGCCAGGGGAGCAAACGGG
rnacentral:rRNA from 1 species